rnacentral:rRNA from 1 species
UACGUAGGGUGCAAGCGUUGUCCGGAAUUAUUGGGCGUAAAGAGCUCGUAGGCGGUCUGUCACGUCGGCUGUGAAAACCCGAGGCUCAACCUCGGGCCUGCAGUCGAUACGGGCAAACUAGAGUACUGCAGGGGAGACUGGAAUUCCUGGUGUAGCGGUGAAAUGCGCAGAUAUCAGGAAGAACACCUAUGGCGAAGGCAGCUCUCUGGGACGGUACUGACGCUGAGACGCGAAAGCGUGGGGAGCGAACAGG